CGCCAUCCAUUAAUUUGCAUAUCACCAUGCCACUACAGUUAUUUUUUUCCCGUGUGCUGUGCUAUCAUGAAGCACUAAGAAGCUGCAUUAAAACAGAAUCAAAAGAAGUGCUGGGAAAGGGCGGAGCGCGGAGGCCUCGCCGGGUCUUUCACCUCCAGCCGCCGCCUCCGACUCUACCCUCACGGGCGCGAGGCUGCUGGGCAUGCUGGGAGUUGGACGGCGCCUGGCAACAGUCUCCAGCGGCAACGAGGAGGCCGCCAUGGCGGAGCGGCCGAGCAAACACUCGCUGGAUAUAGCUGACCUAUAGCUAAAUAAGAAGAGAGUUAGGGCCUGUCUGCGGGAAUACAAUGGCCGAGAGUUUGGGGUCACGGCCAAGGGCAGAAUGUAGUGAGUGAGGGAGAGUCAGCCAGCUUAGCUAGAGAGUCUCCCUGCCUCUUUAUUUAAUACUUAUUUAUCAGAGAAUAUAAGAAAUUCUCUGUAUGAGAAUUGCCAGCUAACAGCUAGCUGUUUGUAGGCUAUUUAAUAGUCUUUCUUUAUAGCUCCAGUUGUAUAUAUCUGGAUUAAUAUUACUACAAUUAUAGAUUAGGUGGCUAAUUAACUAACUAACUAGCAUUUAAUAAUAUAUGGUUACAAAUAGCAGCAAAAUGUCCCAUCAAAUAUUACCAAACGUUGGUGUGUGUGUUUACGUUUGUUAAUGUUGAUAAUAGGGGAAAAAAUGCAUUUAAACAGUCUUUAUUUAAUCAUGGCCAAAGGCAAAUGUUAAAAUUUGCAAAAAGAUCAUUGUCGUAGGCUAUUUUAUUGAGGACAUUACGUUUUUUUAAUGGUUAUGAUGAAAAACAAUGUUUUUUUGCAGUCUUUAUUUUAUCAGAAUAUGAGAAUUCCCUGUAUAAGAAUUGUGGGUUAGCUAUUUGGUCUGUAUCCAGAUUAGUAUUACUAAAAAUAUAUAUUGGAUUCAUUUAUUUAUGGUUACAAAUAGCAAAAUACACCAUCAAAUAUUAGUAAAUGGUAAUAUAUAUCAUAGAAUAUAAGAUUUCUCUGUAUGGGAAAUGUGGGCUAGCUGUUAAUGAGUGAGUUAGUCAGCUAGGGUCAAGUCUGUCUGUCUAGUCAGCUAGUCUGUCUUUUUCCUAAUUUACUAUUUAUUGCCAGAAAAUUCCCUUUAUGCGUACUGUGGGCAGUUGGUGGGUUCUUCAGUGUCAGAGUUAGCUACAGCUAUGAACCUAGCUAUGGCUACAUAAAUUCCCCAUUCUGAAAUUGUCCCUACAUUAAUGUAUAGAAAGAUUGAACUCGUCAGUCAGCUCGUUAACUUGUUACAACCUUUAUACCAGUUAAAUCAGUAACUUUCUGGGUUAUUUGGCUAAUCAUUUCAUUUUUGCUGGGCAUUGCAGUUCAAGAGCUAAU